rnacentral:tRNA from 1 species
UAAGUUGAAGCCAACAAGGCAUUUAUUUGUUACAUAAACCACUGCUAUAAUCUAGCCUUCUUAA